rnacentral:rRNA from 1 species
AUUGAACGCUGGCGGCGUGCUUAACACAUGCAAGUCGAGCGAUAUUUGACAGCGUAUCGUCAGGUAUAGCGGCAGACGGGUGAGUAAUACUUGGGCAAUCUGCCCUUGAGUGGGGGACAACCUGCCGAAAGGCGGGCUAAUACCCCAUAAGACCACAGGGAUGCAUAUUCCAGGGGUCAAAGCUCCGCAAGGGGCGCUUGAGGAGGAGCCCGAGUCCUANCAUGGUAGUUGGCGGGGUAAUGGCCCACCAAGCCGUUGACGGGUAGCCGGCCUGAAAGGGCAAACGGCCACACUGGCACUGAGACACGGGCCAGACUCCUACGGGAGGCAGCAGUGGGGAAUUUUGGACAAUGGGGCAACCCUGAUCCAGCGACGCCGCGUGGAGGAUGAAGGUCUUCGGAUUGUAAACUCCUUUUGGAGGGAUGAAUGGCUUGGUGAAUAGCCAAGCGUGACAGUACUCUCUGAAUAAGCCACGGCUAACUACGU